rnacentral:rRNA from 1 species
AGAGUUUGAUCCUGGCUCAGAUUGAACGCUGGCGGCGUGCCUAACACAUGCAAGUCGAGCGGUAACAGGUGUAGCAAUACAUGCUGACGAGCGGCGAACGGGUGAGUAAUGCUUUGGAAUCUUCCCAGUAGUGGGGAAUAACCAGUCGAAAGAUUGGCUAAUACCGCAUACGUCUGUAAAGGGAAAGCGGGGGCUCGUAAGACCUCGCGCUAUUGGAUGAGCCAAAGUCGGAUUAGGUAGUUGGCGGGGUAAUGGCCCACCAAGCCUCUGAUGCCUACCGGGCGUGCGAGCGUGGCCCGGCACACUGGGACUGAGACACUGCCCAGACUCCUACGGGAGGCUGCAGUCGAGAAUCUUCGGCAAUGGGCGCAAGCCUGACCGAGCGACGCCGCGUGGAGGAUGAAGGCCUUCGGGUUGUAAACUCCUGUCGAGGGGGAGGAAGGGGUAACCUUGACCUAUCCCUGGAGGAAGCACGGGCUAAGUUCGUGCCAGCAGCCGCGGUAAGACGAACCGUGCGAACGUUAUUCGGAAUCACUGGGCUUAAAGCGCGUGUAGGCGGAU